rnacentral:lncRNA from 1 species
AUAGGGUUUCAGCUUGCAGGCUGCACUAGUUUGCUUUUCAGAGUUCCAAAAGGGCAUUUGUGGUGGCACCACUGUGCCCAGUGCCUUUGCUGGCUUCCUGAGCUUUCCAGAAUAUUGAGGUGUGUGUGCAGGUAUGCUCGAUUGUGUGCACGAGACCUGCAUGUGCGUGAGUGCUCAUGGAAGCCCGUGAGCUGGUGUGUGUGGAUGCACGCGCACGUGCUCGUCUGCAUCUCUCCAGCCCACAGGUCCCAGCACCAAAGGCAGGCACACCCUCAGCUAAUGCACUUGGUGGCCAAACAGGUUCCAGCUGCUUCUUUGUUGCAUUUAAACACCUGGGAAGCUGUACAGCUCACGUGGAUCGCUUGAGACUGAGAGACUCUGCACUGAAGUCCUUGUGGUGAUUAUCACGAGGACUCUGUGAUUUCCCUUGUGAGAACCCCAUGGGCAGGCUGGGAACACUUCGCUGUGAUUGUCGCCAGCUCCUCCCAGAAGGACUCAGGUCACUCCUCCCAGGCCUGCACCAGCCCAGACAGGUCAAAGAGCAGGAUUCCAAGCCAUUGAAAUGGUCUCUGGAGAAGCCUGGAAUUUCCCUGUGACACGUGUGGUAGAAGGUAGCAGGGUUGGUCUUCUGGCAGCCAGGACCAGGGGUUGCCAGCACCCUAGGAUCCCUUGCCACUUGCCAAGUGAGGGGCAGGCAGCCGUUCAGAUCUCAGGGGCUGGAGAGCAAAGCGGAAGGGAGGGCACAUACCUCACCCUCAUCCUCAGCCCUUCUCUGUCCUCCCAGAUGCUUCUAAGUGUGAGAUGUGAAGGAUGUGAAACGCUUGAAACGCAGGCCAUGCCAGGUGUGGAUGCUAACAGCGCUCCCUAGUACACACCCCGGACGCUGAGCUUCACCUUGGAGUCCACUUCCAAGCGAGCCUCCCCUCCAAGCCACAGCCUCAGAGGGCUCGCUAUGCGGUUGAGCCUCUCGUCUUCAGCAGUACCAUCUUCCUCACCCUCCCCACUGCACAUCACUCACACUGCAUGCAGAGCUGGGCGUUAAGAACUCUGCAUGCAUCAUCCUGUUUCAUUCUCAGACCCACCCAGGAUCUCCGUCUCCCAGGUGAGGCUCAGAGUGGUUCCGCUGGAGGGUCAGGGCCUGUCUGAUGCCAAUAUUUUUCUAUCUACCAAGCUUCCCUUUUCUCACCCUCCCAUC